GUAAGUAGUGUAUGGCAGAUCCUGGGGAUCAUACACAUAAUUGGACUGUAUUUGUUUAAUACUGAAUAUGUAAAGAAUUGUUUUCUUUUGUUUCUGGAC